rnacentral:rRNA from 1 species
AACGAACGCUGGCGGCAGGCCUAACACAUGCAAGUCGAGCGAGACCUUCGGGUCUAGCGGCGGACGGGUUAGUAACGCGUGGGAACGUGCCCUUCUCUGCGGAAUAGCCACUGGAGACGGUGAGUAAUACCGCAUACGCCCUUCGGGGGAAAGAUUUAUCGGAGAAGGAUCGGCCCGCGUUAGAUUAGAUAGUUGGUGGGGUAUCGGCCUACCAAGUCUACGAUCUAUAGCUGGUUUUAGAGGAUGAUCAGCAACACUGGGACUGAGACACGGCCCAGACUCCUACGGGAGGCAGCAGUGGGGAAUCUUAGACAAUGGGCGCAAGCCUGAUCUAGCCAUGCCGCGUGUGUGAUGAAGGUCUUAGGAUCGUAAAGCACUUUCGCCAGGGAUGAUAAUGACAGUACCUGGUAAAGAAACCCCGGCUAACUCCGUG